rnacentral:lncRNA from 1 species
CCCUGGGCUGGCAAAGGAGCAGAUCACAAGGCCGUCCCAGAUGUCCAGGCCUGGCCAGACCGCAGUCCUCCCGGCAGCUUGCUGGUGUUGGCAGUGGGCCCCUCCUUCCUCUCCGUGUGCCACUGAGGCACAGCCUGGGAAUUUGGGUGGAUUUAUUUUACCUGCUGAACACUCACAGGUGUUACCUCCCCCUACUUUUGAUUCCUGCGGUCUUGACUCAGUUUUGACUCCGUGGUCUGUCACCUCCCUGGCCUCUUAUUUUUGGAUCGGGGUGUCUCUCCUGCCAAAAGCAAGAUAAAUAUUCCAGUUCAGCUGGGUUGUAGCCUUGGUGCUUGGCUAAAAUUUGCUUUCCAGAUUUACUUUUGGCCUGGGCCCUUGGAGAGCCAAAUUGUCCAGUUCCCGAUUCACCUUUGUUCCUUCGGGUGACCUGCUGAGACGCCGUGGCAUCAGAUUGGCGCUGUGUAAAUGAGCAGGGCAAGCUACCGAGGCCAAAUCAGUGCUCAUCUACAAAUGUGCACUGUCAAAUACAGCUACAGGAGAGGCGCCUCCCGAAGACACUUGGAGAGCAUGGUACCUGCAUCCUGGAGUCCAAUACCCAGUGGAGAAAACCAGAGGCAGAGGAGAGAGGGUGAGGGGUCAGUGGGGCAGAAGCACUCGGGACAAGCUGCACUUUUAUUAGCUGUACAUGGGCUCACGUUUUCCAGGGGCAAGUCUACUAAAGUUGGCCAUUUCCUUUGUUCAGAGAGAUCAGAUCAAUGGGUGGAUAAAGGGAAGGAUGCAUGGACAGUUGGGUGGUGAUGUGAUAAAUAUCUAGACCAAAAUGAUCCCAAGCACUGGCUAGAGGGAAUUCUGUCUAAAUUUAUUUCAAAAGGGAUUCCAAGUCCUGCUGGUGGAAGUGGAGCACGCCUGUAAUCCCAGCACUCUGGGAAGCUGAGGCAGGAGAAUCUCAAGUUUGAGCCCAGCCUGGGCACCUUAGCAAUUUAGGGAGGUCUUGUCUCAAAAGAAAAACCAAAAAGGGCUGGGGAUGUAGCUCAAUGAGAAGGCCAAGCGGGGAAAGCUAAAUAAAUAAAUACAAAAUCAAUAAAAUCGGGGGAUGGGGAGAACGCCAAUCCUCAGAAGCCCCAGGGCAGGGGACUACGGGAAGUAACUCCAAGCUCACCCUAGUCAGUAAGCUUCUUUGAGGCUCACCGUCCUCCCCACCAGGAGCCAAGCCUGGAGGACUCUGCUCCCUCGGACAGUGAUUUCCAUGCAGGGGCUAGAACAGAAGAGGCAGAAAGCCAAACAGAAGCGGAGGACCCCCCAUACCCUGCAGGCCUCCAUCUGGAAGCAAGACCAAGCUGGGAGAAAGGAAAAUCUCUGACCUGGAGUGACAUUUGUGUGGCCUUUAUUAAUUUCAUCAGGGUAGAAAACAAAAUAAAACAAAACAAAACAAAAAAACCGAAUACUGCACCCUUCAGAGAAUUGGAAGGGUUGGGGCAACAAAAAAAUCAUUUUCUGUUGGUGAUCGACUGCAUCCUGUUCAUUCAAUAAAAUGCAUGUGCCCAACAAAGCCUGGAUGAAAGAGUCUUGAUUUAAUAUCAUGUCCCACACUCAUUUAUUCAAUAAGUGGAUAUCGAGCACCUGCUCCAUGCUGGGUAUC